GAUGAGCGCUGGCGGCGUGCCUAAUACAUGCAAGUCGAGCGAACAGACGAGGAGCUUGCUCCUCUGACGUUAGCGGCGGACGGGUGAGUAACACGUGGAUAACCUACCUAUAAGACUGGGAUAACUUCGGGAAACCGGAGCUAAUACCGGAUAAUAUAUUGAACCGCAUGGUUCAAUAGUGAAAGACGGUUUUGCUGUCACUUAUAGAUGGGUCCGCGCCGCAUUAGCUAGUUGGUAAGGUAACGGCUUACCAAGGCGACGAUGCGUAGCCGACCUGAGAGGGUGAUCGGCCACACUGGAACUGAGACACGGUCCAGACUCCUACGGGAGGCAGCAGUAGGGAAUCUUCCGCAAUGGGCGAAAGCCUGACGGAGCAACGCCGCGUGAGUGAUGAAGGUCUUCGGAUCGUAAAACUCCGUUAUUAGGGAAGAACAAAUGUGUAAGUAACUAUGCACGUCUUGACGGUACCUAAUCAGAAAGCCACGGCUAACUACGUG
rnacentral:rRNA from 1 species